GGCGAGGGCCGCGGGAUGGAGGGAGUCCGCGGGGGGGGAUCUCGGGGGCGGGGGGUGGGCACGCCCGGUGCACGUGGGCUAGGAUGAACUGAUCGUCGUGCCCCCCCCCACCCGCUGUCAUAAUCCCAGCUAUUUGGGGCUGAAAGGACAAGCUGUUCCUUCUUGUAGAGGUGGAAGCGGUGCAGAGAAGGACGACCAGAAUGAGCAGCUCCUGCAGUCUAGCCUGCCAGCCUCUCCUUUGGACAGGGAACAUCGGACCCACCUGCCUCCUGGGCUUCUGCAGCAACCAUUUAACCAAACUAAUGAGUAUUACUUAUUCUGGAGUGUUUUAUAGAUACCAGCAGCAGAAACACUUGACCUGGAGAUAAGCCUGCAGAUCACACUGCUGCUACAGACGGAGGAGCACGGCUGGUUCGAAAAGGUUGGCAACCCCAUUUUACAGAUGGGCCGCACAGUGAGGUGCGUUGCGCAGGUGCUGCUUGAUUAAUCACGGGGGAUGGCUUAAUACAAUUAACAUGUCCUGCUGUUUUUAAUAACGCUUUAAUAAUAACGUUUUCUGUUUUUCUUGUCUUUAAUCCGGAGCGACUCCGCAAUGGCCUUCCAAGAAGCCAACUUCAAAA